AGAGAGAGAGAGAGAGAGAUUGCAAGUGGGGGAGGGGCAGAGAGAGAGAAGGAGACACAGAAUCCAAAGCAGGCUCCAGGCUCUGAGCUGUCAGCACAGAGCCCCAUGUGGGCUCAAAAUCACGAACUGUGAGAUCAUGACCUGAGCCAAAGUUGGGCGCUUAAGGGUCCAUGGAGCCACCCAGGCGCCCCACCACUAGUUAUACUUAAAUUAAUCCUUUCCAUGUGUUGGUAUGUUAUGGUGUGGUAGAUACGUAAUUUUCGUGAACUAAAAAUCUCUGAGUUCUAGGAGUACUGCAUAAACUUAAUGGCAAUUAGCUGUAUCAUUUAGUUCCAAGAGCCAAGACAGUCAGAUUUUAAAAUGUAGUAUUUUUAAAUUGUAAAGAUUUGCCUUUAGAAUUAGAAAGGAUAUGAACUAUAUUUUUGUGAACUAAACUAUAUUUAGUCAUUUUAUUAUACUAAAUGAGAAUUUGAAAUUUUAAUUUUAUUUUGUGUGUGUUUUUUUUUACAUUUAUUUAUUUUUGAGAAACAGAGUGAGACAAAGCAUGCAUGGGAGACGGGCAGAGAGAGAAGGAGACACAGAAUCUGAAGCAGGCUCUGGGCUCUGAGCAAGCGGUGAGCACAGAGCCUGAUGUGGGGCUUGAACCCAUGAACUGUGAGAUCAUGACCUGUGCCAAAGUCGGACGCUCAACCGACUGAGGCACCCAGGCACCCCUAUUUUGUGUUUUAAAUUCACUAAAUAUUAACCAAGAUUUAUUACCAUAUUUUACCAAUAAAUUUGUUAGCAUCAGCAACAUUGCUUCACUUUGUCAAUUAGCAUAAAUUAUAUAUCACUAUGGACCAGAGGACUCUAAAAAUUAUCACUUUGGAAAAUGGUUUAUUUUCUAUUUUUAGAAGAGAUAUUUUUAAUCUAUUAUGCAAUCAUAACAAAGUUUUUCCUACUCCAAACAUAGUAUUCAUUUAAAAAAUCUUGUGUAAGCUAAGAGUAUAUAUGAAUAAAGACAUGAAGUUUUAAUAAGCUGUAUGUAAGCAUCUGAUAUGACAUAACUAAUUACAAAUGCAUUGAGAACUGGCAGUUGGUUUUCUCAAAAACCUUUUGGUAACUUGUUGCAAAAUAUAGUAUAGUAAAUAUAAUUCUUUAAGAAGUGUUUUCCAUAUUUUAGGAUAAAAAUUCCUUUCAACUGACUUUUAAUUAAUGCUUAAUUAGCUUUAUUCAGAGUGGAGUUUUUUAAAGUCAGUUUCUAAUCAUGCCUAGAUGAUGUUAUAAAUUAAAAGUGCCAUUAAAAAGUUUCCAUGUGGAUUCCUCAAAGUAACUAAUCUUGAAGAUUUUUAAAAAGGCGCAGGUUUCCAAAAAUACCAGUACAGUUCUGAUGCAAUCUCUACAUCCUGUGAUUUUGAACCCAUGAGAGACAAUGGUUGGUUGGUUUGUAUAUUCUUCGAUGCACUCUGAAUAUUUGAUGGACUGUGGGCCAAAAGCUGGUGCUCUGGUAUAUCCAGGGGCUUGAUAAUUUCCAGAUUUGGAUUAUUGUGGUAUGCUACUACUCUAGCUGAUUCUGAAGCUGCUAAUGCUCCAAGACAAUUGUUGGAGGAGAAAGAGGAAGAUAAUGACAAUGGUGAUAAAGCUACCAUGAAAUACAGCUACUCACUCUCCAUACUGCAUUCUAUAAUUACUUGUGGUGAUCAAAUUAUGAAAACCAUUUUAACACAUAAAAUACUGCAUGCAAAUUUUGAUAUUUACUUUCCUAUCAAUUAAAAAAAUCAUUUGUUGAUUGUCUAAAUCAAGAAAUUGGAGUUGACUCUCCUUCCCCAAAAAAGAAGUAAAUUUCAAGUAAAAUUCAAACUGCAAUCUACCUAUAUUAAUGAUGACCCCCCCAAAAAACAAGGAAAAAUAAUCGAACCAUAAUAUAUUUAGGUUAUUAUUAUUAUUAGAUAAUACGUAUUAUUCCCAUUGCCACAUUCCCAUUGGUUUCUGUAAUGUACCAUGUAUACUGACACUAACAUUGACCUAGAAGUUGAAAAUUCAGUUAAUAAGCUCUAUAAUAUUUGAUAGUUUCCAAAACAAAUACAGAUACAUUUACAUAUUGAUUUUGGCUCUCUUCUUUCCACAUGACUUCAUACUUAGGCUUCAGAUAUUUCAUCAAUCUCUGCUCUAUACAUUUUAUAAAGUCAAGGUAAGAUCAAUAUAUUUCAGAUUAUUCUAAAUGUUCAAUUUAUUUUAAACAUUAUAAAUCAUCUAUUCCUAUAUUUUAUCAGCACAUGACAUAAACAUGCACAAGGCACUGCAUUCACCAAAGACAAUUGAUAAAUUAAAAAAUAUUUUACAUGUACUUACUUGAAAUAAAAGAAUAUGCCAAGUGAGAUAAGCAGUGAUGCAAUAGAUAAUCCAUGUCCAAUUAUAGUCAGGUAAAACAAAUUCAGUGCAGUCUACAAUUGGUAUGAAUAAAAAAACAAUUAAGAUUCCUAUCAAUACUAUAAUCCCACAUGUGUAUAAGCUCAAAUCAAUAGAACAAAUUAUAUUUCUAAAAAUAUGUGUUCUACUCGCAUUGCCAUUUAGCUUACAAACCAAUAGAUACUUAAAUACAUCUGGAAUAAAGAGUAUCUGUGCAAAUUUAUCAAGUGACAUCAACGUUUAUAAAUUGUAUGUCCUCUUAAUGUAGAAAAUUAGAAAUCAUAUAUUAAACCUAGGAAGGAAUAAUUUUAUUGAUCUAGGUUUUGUAAUACUUGAAAGUAGCAUUUUAUGUUUUGAAGGACAUUGACAGUUUUUACUCUAUCACUUUGUGAAUGUUAAAUGCUAUUAAUUAUUUUUGUUUAUUUUAGACAAGGCUUUCUUUCCUACUGGGUUUUUCUUUUUCCUUUAACAAAUUUGAAGCCCCAAGACUAAUCUCAAUAUAGCAAUUAUAGGAGCCUCUAAUCUAUACAAAUAUGUUUUUUCACAUAGUUUCACUCUUCCUCUUUGUUUUUUUAUUUUUCUGUAUUCUAUUUGUAACUUACCAUUUUAUUCUAUAUUUUUAUACUUCUCUUUAAAAUCUUCUCUGAAUAAGCAAAGAACACAUGAUUUAUAAGUAUAGUGAUAGCUGACAUUUAUCAAAUGCUUACUAUAUACCCAUGAGUUUUCUAAGAAUUUUCCUUGUAUUAAGUCAAUCCUUAUGAAAACCUUGAGGCUAGGUUUAUUGUUAUCUUCAUUUUAUAUACAAGGAAACUGAGGCAGAGAGAGGUUAUAAGCUUGCCUGAGGUCAUAUGGCUGGUAAAGAAUAGGAACAAGAAAUCAGGACUCAGUUCCAAUCACUGACAAACUGCCUGUAUAUUCACACCUGUGCAAAUGUAUUCAGGCACUUUCUAUCAAAGCUUAAUUGUUGUGACAAACUGUGACUAACCUUGACUUUGAUGUAUUGUGUUAAAAGUGGGAAUGUGAGUGAGUAACCUAGCAGCCAGUCAGGACAGCCUUCUGUUGAGGGACAGAGAGUUGUGUACACCCUUUUGGACUUACUUUGUUUACUUGAGCACAAUUCCUGAACUUAGUUCUAGAAACUCCAAUACCAAUGAAUAUGUUCCCUUUUCUUUCCCUUUUUAAAAUAUGUUUUCUUUGGGAAAUUUGAAACUCCAAUACCAACACAUUGACUUGUAAAUACACUAUUACCUAGCAGGAUUGCUUCCUUUGUGUAAUGACAGAAUGAAUAAUUAUUUCCACAAAGAUUUUUCUCCAUUGCUUAUAAAAAGGCUUUACAACACAAUGGAACACUAGGUAAACUUUCUCCAAUACCCUAUCAGUAACUAACUUUGUAAGUAGAUCAUGUAAAUAACAUUUGAGUUCAUAAUUAUUCCAUACCUUCACUUUCUCGUGUGUGUUAAGAUUACACUGGGUAUAAUUUGUCCAUGUCCUGUUGCUCUCUGGAUGUCUAAACCAGUUUCCAUCUUGGUCACAGAUCUUUGUAACUUUUUCUUUAAUUAAAAAGAAAAGAAGAAAACAUUAAUGCGAUUAAUUUAGAGUUUAUUUAAUGUCAAGUGGAUCUGUAUAUAAAUCUCUGUUUCUACCUGACGGAUCAAAGUCCUGAAAGUAAUCAGGGCAGUGCUGCAUUGAUUCGGUUCCUGCGGCAACAUCAUUCCAGCAUAACCACCCAUCCCAGGUUCUGUUACAGUAAAUGCCUUAAGAGAAGAAUAAAAAUCAGUGAUUAAUAAUCCCUUUAGUUAUACAUGAAGACAUAAGUCUUACUGGUGGGCUAAUACUGACAUGAAAUACAAACUACCAACUGCAAAUGAAGAUCAUAUAAAAUCCAUAGCUGGUAAGUUUUUCAUCAAGUCAUUAUUGGGUUUAUUGCCAAAUUAAAUUUAGAAAUAUCCAUAAAAGUGUACUGAAGAGUUUAGAUUUAAUUCCAGUUCUCAAAGGUGGCUAUUCAUUCAAUAAAUCAAGUGGUCUUUGAUGGCUGUCCUUAACCAUAAAGGUGGUAGUUACUUAGUGUCCCUAUACUUAAAACUUUGUAAAAGUAUGAGAAAUUGGAAAAUGUUGUGUUCUUAGGGCAAGGUUUUAGUAUUUUCUGAGAUAAACAAAUGAACACCCUAACACUUCCUAUUUCACAGUAUUGACCCUAACAGAUAUUCAGGCCCCUCUACCAAAUUGUAGCUCUUACUUCCCUUCCUUCACAUUUCAAAUGGAGUAGAAUGUAAACAUUCUCAUAUUUUCCUUUUAGUAAACUGAAGAGAAAGAUCCUCUUACAUGAACAAAUAUAAGUUUUUUUUUAAAAAGGGAUGGAGAAAUAAAAUGACCAAUAGUCCAAUGUUAUAACAGUCUAUAAUUAAAGAAAAUAAUUUUUCACCUAGUCGGGCAAGUACUCAUAGAUAGAAGCCCAAAUGUUCCAUGAGAUGUUUAUUAUUUUUUAACAGAUUUGUGCCACAAUCUCAGACUCAAUCUAAUCUUCAUCGAGGUAGAAAAAAAUUCUACUGGCCUGAAAGUAAUGUCCUAAUUUUUCUGAAAAAGUACAACAGAAAUAACACAGGCUGAAGAAACCAUGACAAGUUAUUCAAGAUUAUCCAACAGAUAUCAAAAAUAAACUUUUGAAGGAUCCAGAGUUGGAUUUUAUCAGUUGGACAGAGAUAAAAGACCACAAGGGCAAGACUUUGAGGAGUGUUGGCAAGAGGAAACAUGUAAGUGGUUUGCUAUUUAAUUAUCCACAAAUAAUUUUUCCUAUGUGUACAUUCUUUCUUCAAAAAAUGUAGAUGAUAUGUUAUGCUAGCAAUAUCACAUACUUGGAAGUUUAAAUAUAUGAAAAUGGCUAAAUGCACACUCAUGUUUAUUUUAGUAUAAAAAUGUUACAUUUUUAAUGUAGAUAUGCAAUGUUAUGAUAAUUAUCAGAUAUGGUGACACAUCCAUCUAUCAGAUGUAAUAUUAUACAAAGUUAAAUUGGUAAUGUUAAUGACUAGAAGCUAAAGUGGGGGAAUAAUCAUGAUAAUAUGAAUUUUAAAAGCUGAAUACAAAAAAUAUAUGUCUAUUUUAAGAUCAGCUAAAACUGAUGUUCAUGCAGAAAAAUAUGUUUUAAAAAGGGAAACUAUAUUAGGCUAGUGAGAAUAUGGAUAUCUUUUUGUCAUUUUUUUAACUUUUUAAAUUGUUUCAGUUUUCUUGUUUGUUUUCAUAUUGAACAACCAUUUGUAACCACUUUUUAUCGAUGUUAGUAAGCCGAAAAUGUUCAAAAUCUAGAUCUCAGGGAAAGAUAGCCUAUGUCUACUCCAGGAAUAAAUUUAUAGAUAAUAAGCUUCAUUACUCCACUUUAAUCGUAGUGAUUCCAUUUCCCCUAUGGUGAUUGGUUUAAUUAUUUCUAUAUGAUAAGUUUCUGACCAAUGAUAUGAGAAAGAAAGUAUGCUAUUUUCCCAGGGUUCGAGAUUAUGUACUUUUGAAAAAGAUUCUUGCUUUAAAUGGAGCCACAUGGAAAAGGCCACAUGGUGUGUCUGUCCGUUUGUCUUUAUGUGAUGCUUGUGACUGAAGCAAUCAUCUUAUAAUAUUGAGACCUACCUGAGAUAAAGACUACCUGCUAUAAAUGAUAGAAAUAAAAUGACAGGGGAACCUGGAUUUGUGUUGAAUUAACUGGUCUUGAAGCAUAUUACCUCUGUGCUUUGUACAGUAAGAUAAUAUAAUGAAAUAAGUAGCCUCAUUAUCUAAGCUAGUUGGCUGUGGUUUUGUCCUACACCCAGCCAAAUGUAACCUAACUGAGAGUUAUUUUGCUUUUAUUACUUUCACAAACUGCUUAUUAACCAAUUUUUUUUCAACUGUUUUGAUAAAGGAUGCUU